UACGUAGGGUGCGAGCGUUGUCCGGAAUUAUUGGGCGUAAAGGGCUCGUAGGCGGUCUGUCACGUCGGGAGUGAAAACACGGGGCUUAACCCCGUGCCUGCUUCCGAUACGGGCAGACUAGAGGUAUGCAGGGGAGAACGGAAUUCCUGGUGUAGCGGUGAAAUGCGCAGAUAUCAGGAGGAACACCGGUGGCGAAGGCGGUUCUCUGGGCUGACACUGACGCUCAUGCACGAAAGCGUGGGGAGCAAACAGG
rnacentral:rRNA from 1 species